GUAGGUGAACCUGCGGAAGGAUCAUUAUUGAAUGAACUUGGUGUGGUUGUUGCUGGCUCUUUCGAGGGCAUGUGCACGCCCACCAUCCUCAUCUCUCCACCUGUGCACCUCUUGUAGACUUGGAUUGACUUUCCGAGGCAACUCGGUCGGGAGGAUUGCCGGCGCCAGCUGGCUUUCUUUGCAUUUCCAGGUCUACGUUUUUCAUAUACCCCAUUGUAUGUAACAGAAUGUAACAUUGGGCACUUGUGCC
rnacentral:misc_RNA from 1 species